GAUGAACGCUGGCGGCGUGCCUAAUACAUGCAAGUCGAGCGAACAGACGAGGAGCUUGCUCCUCUGACGUUAGCGGCGGACGGGUGAGUAACACGUGGAUAACCUACCUAUAAGACUGGGGUAACUUCGGGAAACCGGAGCUAAUACCGGAUAAUAUAUUGAACCGCAUGGUUCAAUAGUGAAAGACGGUUUUGCUGUCACUUAUAGAUGGAUCCGCGCCGCAUUAGCUAGUUGGUAAGGUAACGGCUUACCAAGGCGACGAUGCGUAGCCGACCUGAGAGCGAGAGGAGGCAAACUGUAAAGGAGAGAAGGUACAGACGCCGACGGGAGGGAGCAGUGGGGAAUGUUGGACAAUGGGCGGAAGCAUGAAACAGCCAUAACGCGUGGGAGAAGAAGGCCUUCGGGUCGUAAAGCCCGGUUGUGGGGAAAGAAAAGAAGAAGCUGAAGAUCCCGCGGUUCUGACGGAACCCAAAGAAGAAGCAAAGGCGAACGGCGUG
rnacentral:rRNA from 1 species